GAAGAAGAAGACGAAGAGGAUGAGGAGGAGGAGGAGGAGGAGGAGGAGGAGGAUAAAACUUUAGAAUUCUUUGUGAGGACGACACUUGGCAACGGACGUUUGAUGUUCAUUCCUUGAAACUCACCGUUGUCCUUGUACCACGUGUUCGAGGCCUUAGGCGAAGAUUCGACGUAACAUUGCAGAAUAACGUUGCUAUUCGUCGGUGCAGCCACCAAUUGAUUCGUCACUUUGAUCAAGGGCUUAACUAUUUUAAAGGAAAAUCGCGGGAAUCGCUGGUACGAUGGAGAUACCGGCCUGGUAUACACUCUCGCGACGCAAUGUACACACUGAAUAUUGCAAUCGGAUAGGCGAACAGUCGAUGGGCUUGGCAGAGAGGAA